AUUCUGACCUGGUCAAGGAUGAAUAAGAUGGUGGAAUGAGAUGGACAUGGUAACCCUCAGUACACAUAUGAAGACAUGAAUGCCAAACAGGAUGUGAUGCCAGGAAGAUCCAGGGUUGGAGCCAGCAGAAUGUACACCACUUCCCCAUACCUAUGGUUGAGCUGGAUCCAGCAAGAUUCCUGCAAUUAAGCACUGCCUGUCAGGUAAGACAAACUCACACUGUCUACUAAGAUAGACUGGUCAAUUUCA
rnacentral:lncRNA from 1 species